CAUCGCCUCUUGAACUAAAUAAGAGGUCCAGCCUGCCCAGUGAAAUUAUUCAACGGCCGCGGUAUCCUAACCGUGCGAAGGUAGCGUAAUCACUUGUUCUUUAAAUGAGGACUAGUAUGAAUGGCACCACGAGGGUUCUACUGUCUCCUUUUUUAAAUCAGUGAAACUAAUCUUCCCGUGAAGAAGCGGGAAUUUUUUUAUAAGACGAGAAGACCCUAUGGAGCUUUAAACAAAUGACAUUUGCUUAAUCUAAUAUUUUAUUUUCAAGAAAUAUAGCAUUAUGAUCUUUAGUUUUCGAUUGGGGUGAUCACGGAGAAAAAUUUAACCUCCACGCCGAAAGGGUUUAUUCCCUAAGCAAAAAGCUACAGCUUUAAGCACUAAAAAAUUAACGUAGUUUGACCCAAUAUUUUGAUCAACGAACCAAGUU
rnacentral:rRNA from 1 species